rnacentral:rRNA from 1 species
UACGUAGGGUGCGAGCGUUAAUCGGAAUUACUGGGCGUAAAGGGCGCGUAGGCGGCCAACUAAGUCACACGUGAAAUCCCCAGGCUUAACCUGGGAACUGCGUGUGAUACUGGAUGGCUUGAAUUCGGGAGAGGGAUGCAGAAUUCCAGGUGUAGCGGUGAAAUGCGUAGAUAUCUGGAGGAAUACCGGUGGCGAAGGCGGCAUCCUGGACCGACAUUGACGCUGAGGCGCGAAAGCUAGGGGAGCAAACGGG